rnacentral:rRNA from 1 species
UACAGAGGUCUCAAGCGUUGUUCGGAUUCAUUGGGCGUAAAGGGUGCGUAGGCGGCGCGGUAAGUCGGGUGUGAAAUCUCGGAGCUUAACUCCGAAACUGCAUUCGAUACUGCCGGUGUUUGAGGACUGGGAGAGGAGACUGGAAUUUACGGUGUAGCGGUGAAAUGCGUAGAUAUCGCUGAAGGAAGACCAGUGGCGAAGGCGGGUCUCUGG